rnacentral:rRNA from 1 species
GGCUCAGGAUGAACGCUGGCGGCGUGCUUAACACAUGCAAGUCGAACGGACUCAUAUUGAAACCUAGUGAUUUAUGAGUUAGUGGCGGACGGGUGAGUAACGCGUGGAAAACCUGCCGUAUACUGGGGGAUAACACUUAGAAAUAGGUGCUAAUACCGCAUAAGCGCACAGCUUCGCAUGAAGUGGUGUGAAAAACUCUGGUGGUAUACGAUGGUUCCGCGUCUGAUUAGCUUGUUGGCGGGGUAACGGCCCACCAAGUCGACGAUCGGUAGCCGGACUGAGAGGUUGAACGGCCACAUUGGGACUGAGACACGGCCCAGACUCCUACGGGAGGCAGCAGUGAGGGAUAUUGGUCAAUGGGGGAAACCCUGAACCAGCAACGCCGCGUGAGGGAAGACGGUUUUCGGAUUGUAAACCUCUGUCCUCUGUGAAGAUAAUGACGGUAGCAGAGGAGGAAGCUCCGGCUAACUACGUGCCAGCAGCCGCGGUAAUACGUAGGGAGCG